rnacentral:lncRNA from 1 species
GGAGAAAUGGGUGCGGGAGUGUGGAGCGGAGACCAGUUCCCAGGCGGUGGCCCUGGCCGAAGGCUUCUUGCUGACCAAGGAGGAGGAGAAGUUACAAGAAGAGUUGCAGAAAUCCUUGGAAACUUUGAUUGAAUAUCCCAAGGGGAGGAAAUAUUCAUUCAGAUCUUCUCAAGAGCUGCUGUUCAGGGAGACUUUGCACAAACAUCAAAGUAAUGAAAGCACACCAGAGAGUAGAAAGCUGUCCUUGGAAAUUUUAGAAUCACCUCCUCUUUGUGGUAGGGCUGAAGAGUUGGCUGAACCGCAACUUCAGGUAAGGAGGAAAAAGAUUGAAAAAUGUCCAUGAAUCUUGGAUGGAUUUCAUUUUGUUCUCGAGUUUAUUGUAAUAAAAUGCUGUUUUUAACCAAAACAAAUCUGACAUCCGGUCAUUCAAGGGAGAGAGCUUCUUUGUGAAA